rnacentral:rRNA from 1 species
GAUGAACGCUGGCGGCGUGCCUAAUACAUGCAAGUCGAGCGAACAGAUGAGGAGCUUGCUCCUCUGACGUUAGCGGCGGACGGGUGAGUAACACGUGGAUAACCUACCUAUAAGACUGGGAUAACUUCGGGAAACCGGAGCUAAUACCGGAUAAUAUAUUGAACCGCAUGGUUCAAUAGUGAAAGACGGUUUUGCUGUCACUUAUAGAUGGAUCCGCGCCGCAUUAGCUAGUUGGUAAGGUAACGGCUUACCAAGGCAACGAUGAGUAGCCGACCUGAGAGGGUGAUCGGCCACACGGGAACUGAGACACGGUCCAGACUCCUACGGGAGGCAGCAGUAGGGAAUCUUCCGCAAUGCGCUAAGGCCUGACGGAGCAACGCCGCGUGAGUGAUGAAGGUCCUCGGAUCGUAAAACUCUGUUAUUAGGGAAGACCAAAGGUGUAAGUAACUAUGCACGUCUUGACGGUACCUAAGCAGAAAGCCACGGCUAACUACGUG